rfam:Ictidomys tridecemlineatus contig095415, whole genome shotgun sequence.
UUUGGAAAGUAGUUCAGAAUAUCAACCAAGAGCACGUCAAUUGGAACAACACAGAGAAGGCGAGCAUGGCCCUGUGCAAAGAUGACACACAAAUUCGUGAAACAUUCCAUGUUUUA